rnacentral:rRNA from 1 species
UGGCGGCCUUAGCGCGGUGGUCCCACCUGACCCCAUGCCGAACUCAGAAGUGAAACGCCGUAGCGCCGAUGGUAGUGUGGGGUUUCCCCAUGCGAGAGUAGGGAACUGCCAGGC